rnacentral:rRNA from 1 species
UCCGUAGGUGAACCUGCGGAAGGAUCAUUACCGAGUUGAUUCGGGCUCCGGCCCGAUCCUCCCACCCUUUGUGUACCUACCUCUGUUGCUUUGGCGGGCCGCGGUUCUCCGCGGCCGCCCCCCUCCCCGGGGGGUGGCCAGCGCCCGCCAGAGGACCAUCAAACUCCAGUCAGUAAACGAUGCAGUCUGAAAAACAUUUAAUAAACUAAAACUUUCAACAACGGAUCUCUUGGUUCUGGCAUCGAUGAAGAACGCAGCGAAAUGCGAUAAGUAAUGUGAAUUGCAGAAUUCAGUGAGUCAUCGAAUCUUUGAACGCACAUUGCGCCCUUUGGUAUUCCGAAGGGCAUGCCUGUUCGAGCGUCAUUACAACCCUCAAGCUCUGCUUGGUAUUGGGCACCGUCCUUUGCGGGCGCGCCUCAAAGACCUCGGCGGUGGCGUCUUGCCUCAAGCGUAGUAGAACAUACAUCUCGCUUCGGAGCGCAGGGCGUCGCCCGCCGGACGAACCUUCUGAACUUUUCUCAAGGUUGACCUCGGAUCAGGUAGGGAUACCCGCUGAACUUAAGCAUAUCAAUAAGCGGAGGA